rnacentral:rRNA from 1 species
CCUACGGGCGGCUGCAGUAAGGAAUAUUGGUCAAUGGACGAAAGUCUGAACCAGCCAUGCCGCGUGGAGGAUGAAGGUCCUCUGGAUUGUAAACUUCUUUUAUCUGGGACGAAAAAGGGCCUUUCUAGGUCAACUGACGGUACCAGAUGAAUAAGCACCGGCUAACUCCGUGCCAGCAGCCGCGGUAAUACGGAGGGUGCAAGCGUUAUCCGGAUUCACUGGGUUUAAAGGGUGCGUAGGCGGACAGGUAAGUCAGUGGUGAAAUCUUCCCGCUUAACGGGAAAACUGCCAUUGAUACUCUCUGUCUUGAAUAUUGUGGAGGUGAGCGGAAUAUGUCAUGUAGCGGUGAAAUGCUUAGAUAUGACAUAGAACACCAAUUGCGAAGGCAGCUCACUACACAUAUAUUGACGCUGAGGCACGAAAGCGUGGGGAUCAAACAGGAUUAGAUACCCCUGUAGUC